AUUUGUACCUGGCAGGGGGCGAUACCAUGAUCACGAAGGCAUUUCACCCAGGGCGAGGCUCUGCCAUUGCAUUUCAGUGGUGCUGACCCUUGCAAAUUCCCCAAAUGCGGCAAUCUCGACUGCAUAAUUUCUGGUAGUGGGGGGCUAUGUUUGUGCUCUGG
ensembl:snRNA U1 U1 spliceosomal RNA